UACGAAGGGGGCUAGCGUUGCUCGGAAUCACUGGGCGUAAAGAGCGCGCAGGCGGUCGUUCAAGUCGAGUGUGAAAGCCCCCGGCUCAACUGGGGAGGGUCAUUCGAUACUGAUCGACUCGAAGGCAGGAGAGGGAAGUGGAAUUCCCGGUGUAGUGGUGAAAUGCGUAGAUAUCGGGAGGAACACCAGUGGCGAAGGCGACUUCCUGGCCUGUUCUUGACGCUGAGGCGCGAAAGCUAGGGGAGCAAACGGG
rnacentral:rRNA from 1 species